rnacentral:rRNA from 1 species
UACGGGGGGGGCAAGCGUUGUUCGGAAUUACUGGGCGUAAAGGGCGCGUAGGCGGGCGGGCAAGUCCCUCGUGAAAGCCCACGGCUCAACCGUGGAAUUGCGGGGGAAACUGCUCGUCUUGAGUCCGGGAGAGGAGUGUGGAAUUCCCAGUGUAGCGGUGAAAUGCGUAGAUAUUGGGAGGAACACCGGUGGCGAAGGCGGCACUCUGGACCGGUACUGACGCUGAGGCGCGAAAGCUAGGGGAGCAAACGGG